GGGGGGGUCCAACCUGAGGGUCGAGACCCCGACCAGGGGCCACACGGUGAACGCGAGGGGCCCGAGGUGAACGCGAGGGGCCCGAGGUGAACGCGAGGGGCCCGAGGUGAACGCGAGGGGCCCCGAGGGAGAAGUGUUCUUUAUAAACUUUAUUAUUUGUUUUACUUUGUAGUUUCCUCGUGUGAUCCAAAGUCACUUCCUGGUUUCCAGGCGAAGAUUUUAGUUGAUUUUAUUUUUCUGAAUUAUAUAAAUCACUUCCUCCAGUUUCACUGCCAAAACAAUGUCUAGUGUUUGUGAUUGAUCUGUGUCAAAUGGAUCAAUAACUAAUAAUCAGAUUCAACCUGACUUAUGUAUUGAUUAUUUGUCUUCACAUUUGGUUUAACAAACAAUAAACACAUAUUGGAAGUCAA